UGGGGAAUUUUGGACAAUGGGGGAAACCCUGAUCCAGCCCUCCCGCGUGUGCGAUGAAGGCCUUCGGGUUGUAAAGCACUUUUGGCAGGAAAGAAACGUCAUGGGUUAAUACCCCGUGAAACUGACGGUACCUGCAGAAUAAGCACCGGCUAACUACGUGCCAGCAGCCGCGGUAAUACGUAGGGUGCAAGCGUUAAUCGGAAUUACUGGGCGUAAAGCGUGCGCAGGCGGUUCGGAAAGAAAGAUGUGAAAUCCCAGAGCUCAACUUUGGAACUGCAUUUUGAACUACCGGGCUAGAGUGUGUCAGAGGGAGGUGGAAUUCCGCGUGUAGCAGUGAAAUGCGUAGAUAUGCGGAGGAACACCGAUGGCGAAGGCAGCCUCCUGGGAUAACACUGACGCUCAUGCACGAAAGCGUGGGGAGCAAACAGG
rnacentral:rRNA from 1 species